rnacentral:lncRNA from 1 species
UGGUUGUUAAGCAGCAACAGCAAUGACUGCUUGCUUUCCCUUGAUUUGGCUACUAGAAGCAGCCUCAAUUCUAUUCAUUUUCUUAGGCAGUGGUACAGGGGUGGACGAUUUCUCGUUUGGUUGAACUUUGGUUUUAGCUGGAGCCUUAGCAGUAGGUGUUGGACGCACUAUGAUUGAAGCACCUGGAGAGCACACCACUAGUCAAUAUAAUGAACAAAGAGUUACAUCAAAAACGGUUGGAACGACACAACACUUAAAGCUUCAUCAUGUGCAAUUUCAAAGAAUUUGAAGGUGACUUAGACUUCACCGUUACCAGUUAAACAUUAGCAAUUAGGAAUCGAGUAGCAUGCAAGCAAGAAAGCCAUUAAUAUCCACACUUUGUCAAUGUACCCCGACUUUGUUGAGCCACCCCACACUUAAUUCCCAUGCUAAUACAUAAUAUAAAGUUGUAAACCUGGAGGCUCAGGCUCUAAUUGGGACUAAGAUUGCCUUUGAGGUAAUUUACUCAAACACCUUGCAUACACCAAUUGUAUGUGAGCUUCUUUAUGGGUGGGGGAUUGUCUCACCCUCCCAAAUUAGUUUGGAAAUUGAGUGUGAAACACUCUUUCAAUAAUAAUAACAAUUCAUAUGGGGUUUAAGGGGUUUGGGGCAGUGUCAGCACAAGUCACCAUAUUAGAUCAUAAAAGCUUACAAGCUUGCUAUACUAUAUCACCAUGCUAAGAGAGAGAAGAAAAUAUAUCUUGUAGUUGAGGGAGGAAGUGGUGUGUGCAUGUGAAGUGUUGUAAAGUAUGGGGCAGUAAUGGAUUGGGGAGAGUCGAGAGAGAGGUAUAUGAGAGUUUUGUUGUGUUGGCUGUAUUUUAUGUCUCUUAAAAAAUUACGAUAAAAAAUAGAGAAAAAGGAGAAAUUACUUAUCUGGCACCCAAGGACUAGUCGCAUAGUGCUCUAUGUGUGUGCUUGUGCUUCGUCAGGCUAGGGGUGGGAAUGUUUGGGCGCGAGGAACCCUU